rnacentral:ncRNA from 2 species
CGUAAAAUCUACAACGUUGGUGCUCGCGGUGUGGUUCACAUGCCGCAGUUCAACGGGAAGCAGGAAGGUGAGCCGUCAUGGCGAGCCCAACCUGCGCUGCCCCCGCAACGGUAAGUGGACGAGCCGCAAGGCUCCGCUUUCAUCACCCAGCCACUGGAUGCCCUGAACAAGCGUCCGGGAAGGCGAUGAAGGUUGUUUCCAUCAGCCCGGAUACCGGCCAAUGAAGUGGUGUCGCG